rnacentral:rRNA from 1 species
GUGGGGAAUUUUGCGCAAUGGGGGAAACCCUGACGCAGCAACGCCGCGUGGGUGAUGAAGGCCCUUGGGUCGUAAAGCCCUGUCGGGUGGGAAGAAUCCCUUGGCGGCGAAUAGUCGCCAAGGAUGACGGUACCACUAGAGGAAGCACCGGCUAACUCUGUGCCAGCAGCCGCGGUAAUACAGAGGGUGCAAGCGUUGUUCGGAAUCACUGGGCGUAAAGCGCGUGUAGGCGGCCGAUUGUGUCGAGUGUGAAAGCCCUCGGCUUAACCGAGGAAGUGCACUCGAAACUGGUCGGCUUGAGUACCGGAGAGGAAGGUGGAAUUCCCGGUGUAGAGGUGAAAUUCGUAGAUAUCGGGAGGAACACCAGUGGCGAAAGCGACCUUCUGGACGGAUACUGACGCUGAGACGCGAAAGCGUGGGGAGCAAACAGGAUUAGAUACCCCAGUAGUCC